rnacentral:rRNA from 1 species
GACGAACGCUGGCGGCGUGCCUAAUACAUGCAAGUUGAGCGCUGAAGGUUGGUACUUGUACCAACUGGAUGAGCAGCGAACGGGUGAGUAACGCGUGGGGAAUCUGCCUUUGAGCGGGGGACAACAUUUGGAAACGAAUGCUAAUACCGCAUAAAAACUUUAAACACAAGUUUUAAGUUUGAAAGAUGCAAUUGCAUCACUCAAAGAUGAUCCCGCGUUGUAUUAGCUAGUUGGUGAGGUAAAGGCUCACCAAGGCGAUGAUACAUAGCCGACCUGAGAGGGUGAUCGGCCACAUUGGGACUGAGACACGGCCCAAACUCCUACGGGAGGCAGCAGUAGGGAAUCUUCGGCAAUGGACGAAAGUCUGACCGAGCAAACGCCGCGUGAGUGAAAGAAAGGUUUUU